rnacentral:rRNA from 1 species
CUGAGUAGAGUGGCGCACGGGUGAGUAACGCGUGGGUAAUCUCCCCUUGGAUUUGGGAUAACUCUGCGAAAGUGGAGCUAAUACCGGAUGGUCUGGCUUUAAAUGAUAAGUCGGUAAAGGAUGCCUCUGCAUAUGCAUUCGUCUAAGGAUGAGCCCGCGUCUCAUUAGCUAGUUGGUAGGGUAAUGGCCUACCAAGGCAACGAUGAGUAGCUGGUCUGAGAGGAUGAUCAGCCACACUGGAACUGAAACACGGUCCAGACUCCUACGGGAGGCAGCAGUGGGGAAUAUUGCGCAAUGGGCGAAAGCCUGACGCAGCAACGCCGUGUGAGGGAUGAAGGCUUUCGGGUCGUAAACCUCUGUCAGAAGGGAAGAACGGGCAUUGGUCUAAUAGGCCUUUGUUUUGACGGUACCUUCAGAGGAAGCACCGGCUAACUCCGUGCCAGCAGCCGCGGUAAUACGGAGGGUGCAAGCGUUAUUCGGAAUUACUGGGCGUAAAGCGCACGUAGGCGGCCUUGUAAGUCAGGGGUGAAAUCCCACGGCUCAACCGUGGAACUGCCUUUGAAACUGCAGGGCUUGAAUCCUGGAGAGGGUGGCGGAAUUCCUGGUGUAGGAGUGAAAUCCGUAGAUAUCAGGAGGAACACCGGUGGCGAAGGCGGCCACCUGGACAGGUAUUGACGCUGAGGUGCGAAAGUGUGGGGAGCAAACAGGAUUAGAUACCCUGGUAGUCCACACCGUAAACGAUGGAUACUAGGUGUCGGGGACUUGAUCUUCGGUGCCGUAGCUAACGCGUUAAGUAUCCCGCCUGGGGAGUACGGUCGCAAGGCUGAAACUCAAAGAAAUUGACGGGGGG